CGGAAGAUCGCAGUCGAGAGCAAUUGGAGUAAAGAAAAUAUACCAAGCCGGAAAAAGAAAUGUACCUUCAAAGUCUGAUCUUCUGUUUCCUCGCUUUCGAAAUUAUUCUGCAAAGUGGAGGUGAAAGCGUCAGCGAAAAAAAUCGGAAAAUGUCGAAAAGCUUUCAAGAGCCGCAAAGAACUGAAGAUUACUCCAAGAGGCUUCUUAAAAAAGAAGGAAUCCCAAAAAGGAACGGCGUGGAUCGUUGGAAAUAUCAAAAAGUGAUCUUUGGAGGAUCUCUGAAAACUGGAAAGCAAAUCCCGGGGAGGUUCAAGAAACGGCUAUAUUUUUUAAACAAGAAAAUUAAGAGAGAUCUCGACCGGUCUGAAGAAAUUUUGGCGAAUCCUGGUGCCGAGAUUUUCGAAAAACCUAAUGAUUACUCAAACCUCGUCGAUUUAGAUUAUCCAAGGUCCAUAGAACUCAGGAUCGAAAAUGCCGACCUGGAAGGAAAUUUAGGAGACGUCGAGACAGAGGAGUACAUCUCUCACUCUGAUAAAGGACAUGAUGAGCUUCUGUACGACUUCCUGGAGGACGAAUCCGACAAGAAGUCCUUCGAAGUAAAGAGUCACUUGUUCUCGCCCACCUCCGAGGAAACAAUCGAUUACUCGAUCUCCGGGCCAUUAUCGACGUAUCGCAUAAAAAAUCGUCAUCAAAGCAACAGGUGGAAAAAUCCCAGAAGGCGGAAACAAGAGCAAGAGGAGAGACAAACCCUGGAGAUCUUGACAUUUGUCGCAAAAGUACUGACCCAGACUAUUCGGUCCAUCGGAAACGAGACCAGCUCCAAAAAUCAGGAUCAUCAUCUAAAAUCCACCUCAGGAUAUCCAAAUUUGCAUGCCAACCUGAGGAACAAAGUGGAAAAAAGGAUCACCAUAAAAAAUGUUCCCCCAGUCGGAAACGGGAACAAUAGUUUGGCAAAGUUCUUGAUAGACCUGAACAUCGAGUCAAUGGACAGAAAUCCAGGAAAGAGAAUUACGGAAAAACGUGACAUCGAUGACGUUUUCCAGAAUCCCAUGCUGGACGACAUCACGGAAAAGCCAACAACAACAACGUCGUCAUCGAGGAUGAAAAGUGCUGAUGAGGCUGAGCUGCAGGUUGCAAGAUCGGAUGAAUCACCUCUUGGAAAUGAUUCGUUUAAGAUUGAGAGGCAUGAUGAUUUGGGCUAUUCAGGGAAAAUUGGAGUUGAUGGGAUAGGUCAUGACGAACGAUCUGAUCUGAUGGGAAGAGAAGUGGACCCCAUCAGGCCGGUUAGGACGAAGAUGGGGAUCAAUCGAACUUCUAAUGACGAGGCGAUGAUGAUUGACGUUGACGAACACGUCUCAAUGGGACCCAGUCAAAGCUUGACCGAAGAGUACCAGGAAAAAUGGCACAUCGAACUUCCGCCGUGGCCAUUUUUACCGGGACCCAUCACUUGCGAUGAUGGAGCUGUCAAAAGCGUCAAGUCGAGCUUUUAUGCUGAGCCUAAAGAAUUCAGACACGUGGUUUCCGUGCAAUACCAAUUCUCCCCCGAACGACCCCCCGAGCACAUUUGUGCAGGAGUUAUUUACGGCCCUAAACAUGUUCUUGUUGCUGCACACUGCAUACACAAUUUGUGUGACGACUACGGUUUGAUGGUCACCCAAACGAACAAUUUAUGCGAGAAGAACGGAUUUGUCAACGUGAAGGAAGUCAUCGAAAAUGAGUUCUACGACGAGGAAUUCAGAUCUAACGACAUCGCCAUUCUCAAACUGGAAAACGAAGUCACUCCCACCGCCAAACUUCCUGAUCUGUCUUCCGAAGGAAACCAGGGAUAUUUCUUCUCGAUCGGAUGGCGAGAAUUAUUGUGGAAUAGAUUUAAGAGGAACGCCACCAUGCUGCUGCAGAAGUUCCCCAUGGUGAGGCAUCCCAGGAAGACGAAGGAAAAACCGGGAACUCUUCACAUAGCUCCUGGGAAAUUGGAUUUAACUGGGACAUCUAGAGGCAACGAUGGAGGCAUACUUAUCAACCUCAAAGGACAACUUGUUGGGCUGCAAUCUUCUGUGAUUACUAAAUCCGAGGGCUAUGAGGUUUACACCAGGAUUAGAAGUUACCUCAACUGGAUUAACGUCGCGAUUAGAAACGGCAAUCACAAUUCCAGCUGAUACUCUGACAAAAUGUACAAAUUGUUAUCACGGAACGAAUAUGAAACUAACGACAGGAUUUGAAACCAGAAAUUUUGCACAAAUCAACCUGAACAGUUCUUUUCAAAAAUGAAAAGAUAUCCAUUAUUGCUGCUGCUUUUUACGGUGAAAAGAAGUUCAGCGAACGAAGCUGAAAUGGCGUUUAAUCAUCAACGAAAUUCUCUUUCUUCAAUUUUGGAGAAGAAUAAUCAAAUGGAAGAAAAAACCUCUACGGAACAAAUACACUCGACAAUUUCCAGUUCCAACCCGUACAAAACAAAUUUGUUGAGUUACUUGUUUACCGACAAGUGGCAUCAACAAAAGAACUUCAGGUGGCCGUUUGUAAAAAUCAGAAAAGAUUCCCUAGGAAAAUUGAAAAUAAGAAGAUUCGGCAUGAACUAACAAUAAAGGAGUGUCGAGCGUGAAGCUUAAAAUAAUUAAGAACGAAUGAAAAAAUUCCCCGAUGAAGUCAUGCCAUAAUUGUCAUUGCAAUUUCGAAAGGCUGCACACGCGAUAUAAAUAAUUAAGCAAUUUACGAUAAUAAUGAGGACAAUUUCCUUUCACCGGAAAGGAGUGAAGAAAAGUGGCAUUCAAUUUCCCGGCACCUUCUUAUCGGUACGAAGGUUCAAGAUAGCAAAAAAAUUGCAGUCAUUACGAUCGAUUAAAAUAAUUAAAUAGAAAAUUCGUCGGUAUCUAAAAUUCACGUUUUUAGCGUACAUCGAAAAUGACAUAUCGUUGGCCCUGAAAUUCACUUGAGCUACUUGCGCAUUGUUUCCUGGAUAGUUAUACAACCCAUUGCGCUACUUGUACGGUGCAAGACUCGUGAUAAGAAAACACGUCACCAGGUUAAUAGAGGACAUACAUGAAUAUUUCACUGAUGUCUUGUUUAAUGACACCUGAAUGUAUGGUGUAAUUCAUGGUACUCAAAAAUCUCGCACAUCUUGCAAUUAUGCCAAUAAUUAAUUUUAUUAAACUGCAGUUAAAAAAUCACUCCACCUACAAUUACUACCCACGUAACAAUUUCAACACUAUCUACGUAUAAAUAUUUAUAUGUACGCGCAUUUACACAGUCAUUAUUCCAACACGAUAAUUCCAAAUAAAUAGUCUAUAGUUUACAUUUGCGGGGACAUGAGAUUGCCCAAAAUUAUUUCCAGCAAUUAUUAUUGCCGUCAUCAGGACAUUUAAUUUAAAAUGCUCAUUACGAUAUGCUCGCCACGAUACGUUAAAAAAAAAAGGAGAAAAAAAAAUAGGCGACUGAUAAAAUCCGAGGAAAAGGUGGAGGGGCCGAAGUUUAAAACUCUACCCUCGGCUUUGUAUUUCUCGUAUUUGUUCCCGAACUGUGGACAAAGUCGUACGAUAUUAAUUGUUAAAUAUGGCCACCUUUAAAUACGCCUUAGUGAUUGUAUUGAUAACUGCUGCCACUUGGAUUUGUAAUGCCGAAGGACGAAGCACAAGUUUGCCGGAACAGAAUGAAGGAAGUAAUCCAGAUCAAGGAAAGGAGUUGGACCAAUUGAUGGAGAAGUUUCGAAACGGAAUGUCAACCAUGGGUAUUUCUAUACCUUCAGGAAUGCAACCUUCGAAAGUCAUACACUCCAUGGAAAAAGUACUCUUAUCAAUUCCCUCUGAUAUGAUGCAGUUCGUUGUGUCGGUCGUCAAAUUCGUAAUUCAACUGCCAAUGAAGAUCAUGAAAAACGUCAUAAAAGUUCCCGUGAAAUUGGUAUCUUGACGCAGAUAGGAAGGCCUCUCUUGGAGAAUGUCGCCAUUAACAUUAUGAACUUCAUGACUCCAAUUUUAUGGCGCUUCUUCACGUCCGCCAUUUUGCCAAAUUUGGACAAAUUCGGGAUGCUUUUGGUGGACAACCACGUAUUACCAGGAGAAGUAUCGACGAUUAUCAAAAAUUUUCACAUGUUGUACACGCUGGCGCGAGGAUUUUCAUUCCUGAUCUAAAUAUCUAUUUUUUUUUCAUUUCUGCCUCCACUUCAACAUACAGAAUUUUGCGUAAUCGAAAUUGUUUUUGACUUUGUAUCCAAUUUGGCGUAAUAUCAAUUUUCGGCGUAAUCGAAGUUUUCCGUUUUCGCGUACUCGGUGCUUCAACUUUUAAACGCGUUUUGAAAAUGAAACUUUAAUGAAAACAAUUAAAGUAGAGAAUAAUCGGCGACAUACCGACGAACAUAUAUAUUUAUUAUGGAAUGUAUUUAUUGUACACAUGUAUUUAUUAUGAAUUAAAGUGUACCACACGCUGCAA
rnacentral:misc_RNA from 1 species